UAGCUCAGUUGGUAGAGUACUUGCCUCCAAUGCACAAGGCUCUGGGUUCAAACCCCAG
rnacentral:tRNA from 1 species